rnacentral:rRNA from 1 species
GACGUAGGGCGCGAGCGUUGUCCGGAUUUAUUGGGCGUAAAGAGCUCGUAGGCGGCUUGUUGCGUCGACCGUGAAAACCCGGGGCUCAACUUCGGGCUUGCGGUUGAUACGGGCGGGCUGGAGUUCGGUAGGGGAGACUGGAAUUCCUGGUGUAGCGGUGAAAUGCGCAGAUAUCGUAAGGAAGACCAGUGGCGAAGGCGGGUCUCUGGACAGUUCCUGACGCUGAGGCACGAAGGCCAGGGGAGCAAACGGG